AAUGAUGUGGUUCGCCCAGCGUUGCGUCCAGUACUCGACACCGGUGGUCUUCUGAAGCGACAUGGCGUUCGGCAAAGGAAGGAGAUGAAGUACGAGUGCUGCCGGCCAUCGCGGAGCAUUAUU
rnacentral:lncRNA from 1 species